rnacentral:rRNA from 1 species
UACGGAGGAUGCAAGCGUUAUCCGGAAUGAUUGGGCGUAAAGCGUCCGCAGGUGGCAAUGUAAGUCUGCUGUCAAAGCGUCUGGCUCAACCAGAUAAAGGCAGUGGAAACUACAUAGCUAGAGUAAGGUAGGGGUAGAGGGAAUUCCUGGUGUAGCGGUGAAAUGCGUAGAGAUCAGGAAGAACACCGGUGGCGAAAGCGCUCUACUGGGCCACAACUGACGCUGAGGGACGAAAGCUAGGGGAGCGAAAGGG